rnacentral:tRNA from 1 species
GCCUGGCUGGCUCAGUGGGUUAAGCGUCCGACUUCGGCUCAGGUCAUGUUCUCGCAGUCUGUGAGUUCAAGCCCCGCGUCGGGCU